CAGUAGCCGCGGUAAUACGGAGGGGGCUAGCGUUGUUCGGAAUUACUGGGCGUAAAGCGCACGUAGGCGGCUUGGUAAGUUAGAGGUGAAAGCCUGGAGCUCAACUCCAGAAUUGCCUUUAAGACUGCCGAGCUAGCAGGUGAGAGAGGUAAGUGGAAUUCCGAGUGUAGAGGUGAAAUUCGUAGAUAUUCGGAAGAACACCAGUGGCGAAGGCGGCUUACUGGCUCAUACUGGACGCUGAGGUGCGAAAGCGUGGGGAGCAAACAGGAUUAGAUACCCCCGUAGUCCCUGUCUCUUAUAA
rnacentral:rRNA from 1 species